CGGCAAACGUUAGCUGUUUAUAAAAAUAAAAUGAAUAUUCCCAUUACGUACGAUUUAUAAGGCUUAUUACAGGAAAAUCUAAAGUAUUGUCUGACAAGUCCUCCAGAUAUGGAUAUUAUGGAUCUUACAGUUCAGCUGGAUGGUGUUGUAAUGCGAAGUGUUACUCACAAGCAAUUAAAUCACGAAUGUGCUCCGGCAAUAAAGGAUGCAUUCUCAAAGAACAGCUGUGACUGACACCAGCUUUAUCUGCCGUCUGGUCACCGUGGGAACGCAGGAUGGAUGGAUCGGUUUAGCACACAGCACUGGCAGGCUUAUCUCCACUGCUCACCAAAUUGAGAUGGGACCUGUGUCUAGCCGACGGUAUCAAACAGCUUUAGCCUGAACAUGAGGGCAUCAAUCUACCUCCCCCUUGAUGAUCCUUAUUCUCAAAUUUCAAGCCUGUCACCGCUCAAGCCAACAGCAGAGCCUUGCCUUCCCGUAAUGGACAUCAGACUCUGACCACAGAUGUUUUGCCUGCUGUUAAAAGCCCAGUGAUUAUGAGCCAGAUGGUAAGCAGUCUCACUUUAGUGCAUAUUGCAGAUAUUUGCUAAAUACAGUUUCUAGGCCCAGAAUCACCUGCUUUUUUUGUUCAGAUGAGACUGAAGACAAACUUAAGAAUUUGAAGAGUAUGGAAAGUGCUGAUCUGUAAUGUAAAUCAAUGGGUGACAUGCACCAAUGGCUGAGAAGGGAGGAUAUACAAUACUGAUGUAAUUUAGUGAAAUUUUUUGGGGGGAAAAAUGAACUUUUGUGUCAUUUUGUAUGUUUCAGUUUUUAA